UACAAGUUACAAGAUAACGAGCUAUGCGAUUGGUGACCGGCGACGCCAAAUGCGAAGACGCAGAGCCCACAGAUGACGGAGUCCGCCGGCGAAAAGCUGGAGGAGGUGAUUCCGGUGAGGCGGAGAGAAGCUGAGAGGCGGUAUGAGCAGCUGGAUUCACUAAGCUCUACAGUUAAGUCUCCAUUGAAGCCAUGGAAGUGCAAAAUGGAGAUGAAAACUGAAAAAGAACCUGAGUUCAUACUUCUGACUCUUUUGAUUAUCUUCUUGAAAAAGAACCUUUCAUUAUUCUUGUUACGGAUGAUCUAGUCUCUAUGCAAGUAUAAUAUUAUUUAUACUUUCAAACUA